CCCUUAGAUGUUCUGGGCUGCACGCGCGCUACACUGAAGCUAUCAACACGUUUUCCCUCCCUGAGAAGGGCGGGUAACCUUUUGAAUCAGCUUCGUGGUAGGGAUCGGGGCUUGCAAUUGUUCCCCGUGAACCAGGAAUUCCUAGUAGACGCGAGUCAUAAGCUCGCAUCGAUUAAGUCCCUGCCCUUUGUACACACCGCCCGUCGCUACUACCGAUUGAACGUUUUAGUGUGGCAUUUGGACCGACGCAUCUCAGUUUAACCGCUGGUUUGUGUUGGAAAGACUUCCAAACUUGAGCGUUUAGAGGAAGUAAAAGUCGUAACA
rnacentral:rRNA from 1 species